AACGUAGGUGGCAAGCGUUGUCCGGAAUUACUGGGUGUAAAGGGAGCGCAGCUGGGCGUGCAAGUUGAAUGUGAAAACUAUGGGCUCAACCCAUAGAUUGCGUUCAAAACUGCGCGUCUUGAGUGGAGUAGAGGCAGGCGGAAUUCCAUGUGUAGCGGUGGAAUGCGUAGAUAUCUGGAGGAACACCAGUGGCGAAGGCGGCCUGCUGGGCUCUAACUGACACUGAGGCUCGAAAGCGUGGGUAGCAAACAGGA
rnacentral:rRNA from 1 species